GCUGCAGUGGUGUAGUGGCAGAAGCACGCGUCCCCAGUAUGGAUGAAACGGGGGUUCGAUCCCAACUUGAGGCC